CUUUUGUUCUGUAUAUUAAUUGUGUGCUGGCAAGCAUGCUACUAAGUGUCUUGGUGAGUACCAACUUAGGGAGAAGACUCCUCACUAAAGCUAUAGUCAUAGGUCUACCUUUAAAUAUUUUAUUUUAUUUUAUUUUUAACCCUUAUCUUCUUUCUUAGAAUCAAUAAUGAGUAUUGGUUUUAAGGCAGAAACUAGGGAAUUAAGUGACUUCCCUAAGGUCACACAGCUAGGAAGAAUCUUCAGUAUGAUUUGAAUCUAGGUCCUGCUGUCUUCAGGUCUAGCUCUCUAUCCACUGAGUUUCUUCCCACAUUUGCAAACACUUCUGAGAAAGGAUACUCAAUAUUUUUACAGUUAACUGAAAAAUUAACUACCUCACAAAGGAGGAAAAAUGCUUACUCUUUUGUGGCAGUAGAAAUUCAAACUUUUUAAACAUUUGCUCUAACUGUAUUUUUAUUAAGCUUAGAUUUCUUUUGUCUUCUUUCCUUCCUUCCUUCCUUCCUUUCCUUCCUUUCUUUUUCUUUCUUUCUUUCUUUCUUUCUUUCUUUCUUUCUUUCUUUCUUUCUUUCUUUCUUUCUUUCUUUCUUUCUUUCUUUCUUUCUUUCUUUCUUUCUUUCUUUCUUUCUUUCUUUCUUUCUUUCUUUCUUCUUUCUUCUUUCUUUUUCUUUCUUUCUUCUUUCUUUUUCUUUCUUUCUUUCUUUCUUUCUUUCUUUCUUUCUUUCUUCUUUCUUUCUCUUUCUUCUUUCUUUCUUUCUUUCUUUCUUUCUUUCUCUUUCUUUCUUUCUUUCUUUCUUUUUCUUUCUUUCUUUCUCCUUCUCUCUUAUCUUUCCUCUUCUUGUCAAUGACUCCUUUUAUUCUUCCUUUCCAUACUCUCUCUUCUUGAAGCUUCUUAACCCCUACUUUGUGCUCCUUGAUAUUUAAAUCAAUGGUUAGAUGAAGGUUUAUCACUGUUUUACAAUUCUUUAUAUUUACUUAAGGUUUCCAGCCUUUUAAUUGGCCAUGAAGCAUUUGGGUGUCAUAUCCUUGGCAUAUAUCCUAAAUUUUCUUGCCCUUCCAAAAGUCAUUUAAAGAAUUAUGAAAAAUUUAUAGAUAUAUCAACUAAAAAUAGGCCCACAUUUCUUUUCCUAGAAAUGGUGAGAGUAACAAUGGUUUCCUAAGUGGAUAUUUUCUUUUUGGUUGCAUUAGACAUAGGAAAUUUUUCUAAUAUUGUAUAACAUAGUACAAUAUUUUUAUAAGGAAAUGUUUAUAGGAAUUCAGUGAUGGUUUUUUGAGCAAGGAUCCUCAUCUGGAAUUAGAAUUUAGUACAUCAUAUGGGUUCAAUCUGACAGUAAUCUGGGGGCCUUAUUUAAUCAUUCCAAUACCCCUCUUCCUCCAUCAUCAUCAUCAUCAUCAUCAUCAUCAUCAUAUCUCAUUCUAAGUGUGGUACAAACAUUUAUUAAUAGAUUUUCAGACUUUAAAUUUUAGUGUACUAAGUCUGAUUUUAAGACUUUACUCUCUUACAUUCUUACACAAACACUAUCCACUGUUUUUUUUGAAUUAAUUUGUUUCUGUAUUACGUUAAAACACCCAUGCCUCACUCCAUCUCACCUCUCCUUCCAUUAGAGAAGAUAUCACUUGACAAAAAUGUAUAUAUAUAUAUAAAACUAUUCUUAACUUAUUUGGGUUUAUUUUUUUUCUAUGGUGGUGGUCAUAUGCGUAUCAUUCUUGAAACAGUAUUUCUGUGGCUGUAUAUAAUGUUCUCUGGGUUCUGUUCAUUACACUCUUCAUAACUUUUUAUUGGUCUUUUUGGUUUGUUUAAAUAUCUUUGCUAUUUCUUAUGGUUUAAUAGGAUUACAACAAUCAUAUGACACAGUUUCUUUGGGCAUUUCCUAAUUAAUGGGCAUCCCUUUAAUUUUUAGCUCUUUGCCACCAGAAAGAGUGG
ensembl:lncRNA